CGAACGCUGGCGGCAGGCUUAACACAUGCAAGUCGAGCGAGAUCUUCGGAUCUAGCGGCGGACGGGUGAGUAACGCGUGGGAACGUGCCCUUUGCUACGGAAUAGUCCCGGGAAACUGGGUUUAAUACCGUAUACGCCCUUCGGGGGAAAGAUUUAUCGGCAAAGGAUCGGCCCGCGUUGGAUUAGGUAGUUGGUGGGGUAAUGGCCUACCAAGCCGACGAUCCAUAGCUGGUUUGAGAGGAUGAUCAGCCACACUGGGACUGAGACACGGCCCAGACUCCUUCUAAAAGCGCAUGCACCAGGGAAU
rnacentral:rRNA from 1 species